rnacentral:rRNA from 1 species
GACGGAGGGUGCUAGCGUUGUUCGGAAUCACUGGGCGUAAAGCGCGUGUAGGCGGUUCGAUAAGUCGGAUGUGAAAGCCCGAAGCUCAACUUCGGAAGUGCAUCCGAAACUGUCGGGCUUGAGUACGGGAGAGGGAAGCGGAAUUCCUGGUGUAGAGGUGAAAUUCGUAGAUAUCAGGAGGAACACCGGUGGCGAAGGCGGCUUCCUGGACCGAUUCUGACGCUGAGACGCGAAAGCGUGGGGAGCAAACAGGAUUAGAUACCCUGGUAGUCCACGCCGUAAACGGUGAGCACUAGGUGUAGCGGGUAUUGACCCCUGCUGUGCCGACGCUAACGCAUUAAGUGCUCCGCCUGGGGAGUACGGCCGCAAGGUUAAA